rnacentral:misc_RNA from 1 species
AAUUUGACUAACACUCUUUCUGAAUUUAACACUUUGUUCUUUUGUUAGUUGACUGGUCAAGUGUUGUUCUUACAACCAAUUGCUUUGACAAAUUAUACAUGUUCUUAACAUGAAAGAAACAAAGCACUUUUUCCAAGUUGUAUUUUCACCUGAAGUGGCAGAAUUGUGUCUUUUGUGUGUAUCAAUUUUAUCUAAAUUUGAUAGCUUGAAUUUCCAUCAAACUUAAAGACUUCAAUGAAAAUUUUGAUGAAUAAAUGAUACAAUUAUAGUUCUCCUUUACCUUUAGGUGUUUAUUUGACAAUAAAACAAUUAACAAUGGUUAACCAAAUGAUUAACAAUUAUUAGCAACUAACCAUCAACCAAAGUUAUUAAAGGCUUGAUUGCAAGUAUGAACCUUUUAGAGUUGAGGGCAAAAGAAAUAUGAUUUGCUAGAAAACAAAAAUUAACAUCAUACAUUUCUCAGACAACUACUACAUAAGACAACCAAUUUGUCCUCAAUACUCCCUUCUUUUCGAUUAAUAAGCAUGUGUUUCAGAUAGGAUAUCUUAUGGAUUUAUUAUUGCUGGACCAACUAGAAUCCAUAUUCAAUACAAGCACAAAGGGCUUAAAGAAAAAACAGGAGAAGACAAAAUAUUAGAACUCAAAAUUGAGACUGAGAAUAUAAUGUGAAACUCCAUAUUGGUAAGGGACAACGAUAUUCUAGGUUUUUCAGAAUUCAGUAGGAG